UUUGACUCAGAUGAUGAAGAUUACUCAUAUGAUGAUGAGACUGAUGAUGAUGGCCAUGUUGUCAGGAGGAAGAGCCAGUACAUCAGGUAUAACCCCAAAGCAGAUAUUCCCAUAUUCUGUUUAGGAAUGGUUUUCAGGAGCAAGAGCCAUAUGAAAAAGGCACUAAUAAAGUAUGGGCUAUUGACAUUUAGGAGUAUUAUUUUCAUGAGGUCAGAGGAUGAAAGUAUUAGGGCUGAGUGUGGCUGGCCUGGAUGUCCAUGGCUCAUAUAUGGUGCAAAGAGGUGUUCCAGGUUUCAGGUUCUAACAUAUGAGGAUGAACAUAUGUGUGCUCCUAACAUGGACAAUCACCUUGUAACUGCAAAAGUCAUUGCUAGAAGGUAUGAGCAUAUCUUAAGGGCUAAUCCCACUUGGAAGAUUGAAAGCAUUAAGGCUACUGUUCGUAAGGUUUUCUUUGCUGAUGUAUCAACAUCAAAGUGCAAGGCUGCAAAAAAGAUAGUGUCACAGAAGUUGUUAGAAGGGAUGAAAGAGGAGUACACCAAGGUCUUUGACUAUCAGCUAGAGUUGUUGAGGAGCAAUCCUGGUAGUACCAUUCUUGUUGGACUAGAUCCUGAAUAUAUGGAUCAGAAUAUCUUCCAAAGAUUCUAUGUUUGUUUUAGUGCUAUUAAAAAGGGGUUUAAAGCAUGUAGAAGGGUGAUUGGGCUUGAUGGUUGUUUCUUCAAAUGA
rnacentral:rRNA from 1 species